GCCGAAAUAGCUCAGUUGGGAGAGCGUUAGACUGAAGAUCUAAAGGUCCCUGGUUUAAUCUUGGGUUUCGGCA
rnacentral:tRNA from 1 species